rnacentral:rRNA from 1 species
UGGCUCAGAACGAACGCUGGCGGCGUGCCUAACACAUGCAAGUCGAACGAGAAAGUGGAGCAAUCCAUGAGUACAGUGGCGACCGGGUGAGUAACACGUGACUAACCUACCCUCGAGUGGGGAAUAACUCCGGGAAACCGGAGCUAAUACCGCAUAACAUCGCAAGAUCAAAGCAGCAAUGCGCUUGAGGAGGGGGUCGCGGCUGAUUAGCUAGUUGGUAGGGUAACGGCCUAGGAAGAAUGAGAUCGGUAUCCGGCCUGAGAGGGCGCACGGACACUCUCCAACUGAAACACGAUCCAGACUC